GGGCAUAUGGCUCAGUGGUAGAGCACACGCCUUACACAUGUGAGGCACUGGGUUCAAUCCUCAGCACCA
rnacentral:tRNA from 1 species